CCAGAGUUUGAAACAGAGGUUCGUUUCCAAUCAUCUCGUCUUUUUCCUUUUCAAAGUCGCCGUUGUUCGUUUCGUCACGGUGUUGGAGAUUCCGGAUUUCCGCGUCCGAGCAAAAGGACAAGUGCCAGAAC
rnacentral:sRNA from 14 species